AACCUUAUGGACCUGCGGGCGUAUACCUGCGGAGGGAUCAUUAUCGAGUUGCAAAACUCCCUAAACCCUUGUGAACCUUACCUAUACCGUUUCUUCGGCGGGCGGCUUAUGCCCUAACCUGCCCCCCUCGGGGGUGCGGACCCGCCGGAGGCUUUUAAAACUCUUGAUUUUUGUUGGCAUCUCUGAGUAAAACUGUUAAAUAAGUUAAAACUUUUAACAAUGGAUCUCAGAUCGGAAGAG
rnacentral:misc_RNA from 1 species